rnacentral:rRNA from 1 species
CCUACGGGUGGCAGCAGUGAGGAAUAUUGGUCAAUGGGCGCGAGCCUGAACCAGCCAAGUAGCGUGAAGGAUGACUGCCCUACGUGUUGUAAGCUUCUUUUAUAAAGGAGUAAAGUGAGGCACGUGUGCCUUUUUGUAUGUACUUUAUGAAUAAGGAUCGGCUAACUCCGUGCCAGCAGCCGCGGUAAUACGGAGGCUCCGAGCGUUAUCCGGAUUUAUUGGGUUUAAAGGGAGCGUAGAUGGGUUGUUAAGUCAGUUGUGAAAGUUUGCGGCGCAACCGUAAAAUUGAAAUUGAUACUGGCAGCCUUGAGUACAGUUGAGGCAGGCGGAAUUCGUGGUGUAGCGGUGAAAUGCGUAGAUAUCACGAAGAACUCCGACUGCGAAGGCAGCCUACUAAACUGCCACUGACAUUGAUGCUCGAAAGUGUGGGGAUCAAACAGGAUUAGAUACCCGAGUAGUC